CGAAGAUCUGUCUUGUGUUUUGAAGAUAUCAAUAGAUGAAGACAGUUCUGGCCUCAUGUGAGGGAUCAAAUGAUCUGUUUUAUCUGUCAUGGGCUUGAGAACAGAUUCGCUGAAACUAAUUCAGACUGCAUGCAAAAUGGAUCCUGCCACUUGCAUCACGGGAGUCCCUCAGACGCGAGCGGUUCUUCUCCUCCACUGCAAUCCAUCUCUGCAAUCCAGCAGGCCUCCUACUGCGCCUCCUCUAAAGCCUGUCAGAGGGGGAGUCUGCAGCUAGCGCUUCUGCUUCCAGGCAUGUAAGUAUGUACUCGCGUCUUCCAGAAACUUUGUUUGCUUAGAAGUUGCAACAUCUACUUUUUUACAACUACACAGACCAAACUCCAAAACAAAGUGAAGAUGGGAUUUGAUGCAUGUUGCAACACAAAUAGCUUUACUAAUGUGGCUCUUAUGAAAGCAUUGCACGAUUCUUGUGAAAUAAGUGACAUAAUCAAAUGGUAACACU
rnacentral:lncRNA from 1 species